GCCGCUCUAGCCCAAUUGGAAGAUGGCGCUGGCCUCAAACCCCAGAUGUUCUGGGUUCGACUCCCAGGAGCGGUACCA
rnacentral:tRNA from 1 species